rnacentral:rRNA from 1 species
GACGAACGCUGGCGGCGUGCCUAACACAUGCAAGUCGAGCGGAGAUGAUGUGAGGAAGUUUUCGGAUGGAAUCACAUUAUUUUAGCGGCGGACGGGUGAGUAACGCGUGAGCGACCAACCUUGCACAGGGGGAUAACGGACCGAAAGGUUCACUAAUACCGCAUGAGACCACGGUGUUGCAUGACACAGAGGUCAAAGGAGGAAUCCGGUGCAAGACGGGCUCGCGUCCGAUUAGGUAGUUGGAGGGGUAACGGCCCACCAAGCCUAUGAUCGGUAGCCGACCUGAGAGGGUGAUCGGCCACAUUGGAACUGAGAUACGGUCCAAACUCCUACGGGAGGCAGCAGUGGGGAAUAUUGGGCAAUGGGGGAAACCCUGACCCAGCAACGCCGCGUGAAGGAAGAAGGUUUUCGGAUUGUAAACUUCUGUCCUUGGUGAAGAGAAGAAGACGGUAGCCAAAGGGGAAGCCCCGGCUAACUACGUGCCAGCAGCCGCGGUAACUGUAGUCGU